rnacentral:rRNA from 1 species
AGAGUUUGAUCAUGGCUCAGGACGAACGCUGGCGGCGUGCUUAACACAUGCAAGUCGAGCGGAAAGGCCCUUCGGGGUACUCGAGCGGCGAACGGGUGAGUAACACGUGAGCAACCUGCCCCUGGCUCUGGGAUAGCUCCGGGAAACCGGGAUUAAUACCGGGCAUGACCUGCUCCUGCAUGGGAGCGGGUGGAAAGUUUUUUCGGCCAGGGAUGGGCUCGCGGCCUAUCAGCUUGUUGGCAGGGUAAUGGCCUACCAAGGCGACGACGGGUAGCCGGCCUGAGAGGGCGACCGGCCACACUGGGACUGAGACACGGCCCAGACUCCUACGGGAGGCAGCAGUGGGGAAUAUUGCGCAAUGGGCGGAAGCCUGACGCAGCGACGCCGCGUGCGGGAUGAAGGCCUUCGGGUUGUAAACCGCUUUCAGCAGGGACGAACCUGACGGUACCUGCAGAAGAAGCGCCGGCUAACUACGUGCCAGCAGCCGCGGUAAUACGUAGGGCGCGAGCGUUGUCCGGAAUUAUUGGGCGUAAAGAGCUCGUAGGCGGCCUGUCGCGUCCGCUGUGAAAUCCCGGGGCUCAACCCCGGGCGUGCAGUGGAUACGGGCUGGCUGGAGGCAGGCAGGGGAGAACGGAAUUCCUGGUGUAGCGGUGAAAUGCGCAGAUAUCAGGAGGAACACCGGUGGCGAAGGCGGUUCUCUGGGCCUGUUCUGACGCUGAGGAGCGAAAGCGUGGGGAGCGAACAGGAUUAGAUACCCUGGUAGUCCACGCCGUAAACGUUGGGCGCUAGGUGUGGGUCCCUUCCACGGGGUCUGUGCCGCAGCUAACGCAUUAAGCGCCCCGCCUGGGGAGUACGGCCGCAAGGCUAAACUCAAAGGAAUUGACGGGGCCCGCACAAGCGGCGGAGCAUGUUGCUUAAUUCGACGCAACGCGAGACCUUACCAAGCUUGACAUGUCUCAAAGCCGCGAGACGCGUGUCCGCAAGGGGGGUCAACAGUUGGUGCAUGGCUGUCGUC